GGAGAAGAAUUUUAGAUUUUUCACCACCUAUUGUUCCCCUGUUGCUGCAUCUGCUAAGGACUCGAAAGAAGAGGAAACUCCCAUCGAACUAAAAUAUGCAGCCUACCCCACUGUGAUGGACAUUAAUCAGAUACGUGAGAUUCUACCUCACCGGUUUCCAUUUCUCCUUGUGGAUAGAGUGAUUGAGUACAUUCCAGGGGUUUCAGCUGUUGCUAUCAAGAAUGUCACUAUAAAUGACAAUUUCUUUCCUGGACAUUU
rnacentral:misc_RNA from 1 species